rnacentral:rRNA from 1 species
AAAGGGGGGGGCGAGAAUGCUUGUCUGGCGAGUCUCUUCGGGGGCUACCGGCGGACGGGUGAGUAAACGUAUGCCCCUGCCUCUCCACUGGGAUAACAUAUGGAAACUUAUGCUAAUACCGGAUAGGUUUUUGGAUCAAUGAUCUGAAAAGAAAAUAUGGCUUUUCGCUAUCACUGGGAGAUGGGCCUGCGGCGCAUUAGCUAUUUGGUU